rnacentral:lncRNA from 1 species
UUUCACGGUACAUGCCCUAUGCAGAGCUAAAUGGUCGGAAGAGACAGGUGUACAUUUGCCAGCCUGAAUCAAUACUGGUGAUUAAUGAGAUCUGGUCUUUGGACAAGGAGAACUCUUAAGGACACAAAAGCGCCCCAUAUGAAACUACAGAGGUGAAAAUCAACAGUGACAAGAACAAAACUGACCAAGAAGAGGACAAUGUUCUGAAGCACUCAGACAAGACCUGAGUAGCCUGGCG